rnacentral:rRNA from 1 species
ACUGCUCAGUAACACGUAGUCAACAUGCCCAGGGGACGUGGAUAACCUCGGGAAACUGAGGAUAAACCGCGAUAGGUCAUAGUAUCUGGAAUGAUUUAUGGCUUAAAUCUAUAUGGCCUCUGGAUUGGACUGCGGCCGAUCAGGCUGUUGGUGAGGUAAUGGCCCACCAAACCUAAAACCGGUACGGGCUCUGAGAGGAGAAGCCCGGAGAUGGGCACUGAGACAAGGGCCCAGGCCCUAUGGGGCGCAGCAGGCGCGAAAACUCUGCAAUAAGCGAAAGCUUGACAGGGUUAUUCUGAGUGAUUUCCGCUAAGGAAAUCUUUUGGCACCUCUAAAAAUGGUGCAGAAUAAGGGGUGGGCAAGCCUGGUGUCAGCCGCCGCGGUAAUACCAGCACCCCGAGUGGUCGGGACGAUUAUUGGGCCUAAAGCAUCCGUAGCCGGUUCUACAAGUCUUCCGUUAAAUCCACCUGCUCAACAGAUGGGCUGCGGAGGAUACUAUAGAGCUAGGAGGCGGGAGAGGCAAGCGGUACUCAGUGGGUAGGGGUAAAAUCCGUUGAUCCAUUGAAGACCACCAGUGGCGAAGGCGGCUUGCCAGAACGCACUCGACGGUGAGGGAUGAAAGCUGGGGGAGCAAACCGGAUUAGAUACCCGGGUAGUCCCAGCUGUAAACGAUGCAGACUCGGUGAUGAAUAGGCUUCGUGCCUAUUCAGUGCCGCAGGGAAGCCGUUAAGUCUGCCGCCUGGGGAGUACGGUCGCAAGACUGAAACUUAAAGGAAUUGGCGGGGGAGCA